CAUUAGGUCCUGAGUCUGCCAUUCCGGAUGGACUCACUUCACUGCCCAGGCAUCCCUGACGAGUGAACACCUAAAAGGCCGCAUAACAAGGCCUCUGCAUUCUGAAGGGUAAUUGGCUCGUUUCCAUUUGGACCAUUUGGCAAGAAAGAGCAGAAACUUCUAGAAAGCUUCCACUCAUCUUCAAAGUGAGCCAGAUCCUGUGCUCUGCAUAAGCUGGGUGACAUGGAGCAACCUGCCUACAGGAUUAAGAUGUAGCUCCUCCUCCACUCUCACCUCUUUCUCCAGCAUGCCAACAUGUGCGGUCAUGAGGAUAAUGGACUAAACCUCUGAAACUGAUUUGGAGCCUGUCCUGGAACUUGCUCUGUAGACCAGGCUGGCCCUGAACUCACACCUGCUUCUGCCUUCC
rnacentral:lncRNA from 1 species